AAGUCGUAACAAGGUUUCCGUAGGUGAACCUGCGGAAGGAUCAUUACCGAGUUCUCGGGCUUCGGCUCGACUCUCCCACCCUUUGUGAACGUACCUCUGUUGCUUUGGCGGCUCCGGCCGCCAAAGGACCUCCAAACUCCAGUCAGUAAACGCAGACGUCUGAUAAACAAGUUAAUAAACUAAAACUUUCAACAACGGAUCUCUUGGUUCUG
rnacentral:misc_RNA from 1 species